rnacentral:rRNA from 1 species
CUACGGGAGGCUGCAGUUUCGAAUAAUUCACAAUGGGCGCAAGCCUGAUGAUGCGACGUUACGUGAAGGAAGAAAGCUUUAAGUUGUAAACUUCUGUCGUUAAGGAACAAAAAAUUAAGUAGUACUUUUUAUAUUGAGUUAACUUAAAAAGGAAGCAGUGGCUAAUUUCGUGCCAGCAGCCGCGGUAAUACGGGAACUGCAAGCGUUGCUCGGUUUUAUUGGGCGUAAAGAGUACGUAGGCUGUUAUAUAUGUUAAUUGUUAAAUUUUAAAGUUAAUCUUUAAAUUUGCUGUUAAAACUUAUAACUAGAAUUUCAAAGAGGUAAGUGGAAUUUCAAGUGUAGCGGUGAAAUGCGUAGAUAUUUGAAGGAACACCAAUGGCGAAAGCAACUUACUGGGUGAUAAUUGACGCUAAAGUACGAAAGUAUAGGGAGCAAAAGGGAUUAGAUACCCCCGUAGUC